GACGCAUCGACGCCGCGGGGGGAWGAAGGCCUUCGGGUUGUAAACUCCUGUCAGGGGGGAUGGAUUUCGGGGUGGUGAAUAAGGGUKUCUAUUGACGGUACCUCCGAAGGAAGCCCCGGCUAACUCCGUGCCAGCAGCCGGGUAAAUACGUAGGGGGCAAGUGUUGUUCGGAAUUUUUGGGCGUAAAGGGCGCGUAGGCGGUCUGUCAAGUCGGUUGUGAAAUCCCUGGGCUCACCUGAGGAACUGCCUUUGAAACUGUUUGGCUUGAGUCCCGGAGAGGAAAGWGGAAUUCCCUGUGUAGCGGUUAAAUGCGUAAAUAUUGGAAGGAACCCCAGUGGCGAAGGCGGCUACCUGGACGGUUACUGACGCUGAGGCGCGAAAUCGUGGGGAGCAAACAGGAUUAGAUACCCUGGUAGUCCACGCUGUAAACGAUGAGCAWUGGGUGUCGCGGGUAUCGACCCCUGCUUUGUCCAAGCUAACGCAUUAAUUGCUCC
rnacentral:rRNA from 1 species